rnacentral:lncRNA from 1 species
GAACUUGCCCCCGGCUGGUAACUGCAGGCCUGCAUCCCAACCGCAAGUUCUUCGACGCGAUUAUUUACUGCGCCACGAACUGCCUCUUGAAAGGUUAACUUUGAUUAAUCUCGCCCCUCGUGCGUGCCCGUUUGUUCAACGGCUCCGGGGCCAUCUAUCCUGCUAUCAGCCCGCAUCCACUUCUCAGCUCAUUACCAAAGAUAUAAUAAGGAAUUCCUGUCUGUCCCCGGGGCACAGACCUACACCAGGCUCCUGACAUUUCCCCGGCUGACAGAUUCCUAACAAACUUGCGUUAAUUAGGGAUAUUCCAAAUCACCCCCUGGACGCUCUGUACUGAAAAGCCCCUGGAGCACCCCAGACCUACCCAUUUUUGACUCGUCUGGAAGUCACCUUUGCUUCUUCUGGCAAGGCCCCGAUACCCUUCGCCCGCCGUCUGUCUUCUGUCCCCCGGCCCGCUCCCUUCUAAUUGUGGCAAUAUUUCUGAGACCAGAUCCGUAAGCUCAUUUCCUCCCUUCGGCUCUCCAUCGCAGGUGCUUGGCGAGCUAGAGUCCCUGAAAGAGUGGCACGUAUAUCUUCUCCUCUGUUGGCUUCCUCUUCCUUUUCAAGGACGCUCACCCAUUUUUCUGAUGGGAAAACCAAGGACCUAGUAGUUGAGUGGUUCUUUGCCAGUUGUUAACGUUGCAUUCAUUUUCUUAAGCAAUGGCCUUGUAUCUGGUCCAUUUUAUUCCUCGACUUUGAUUAUUAUUUUUUAAUGCGCUUUCUGUUCUUUGUUCCUGCCAUUUUUCACGAACCUGAGCUCCUUCUGGCCCGUGGCCUCUCAGACGCUACUCUCAGAGGUCGCGGUGUCUGGUGUAUUCCUUGCGCGGUGGUUAGGUGUGAGCGGAUAUGACUUCCUUUGCGUCCUGAGCCGUGAAGCUGCUAGCAAGGGGAGAAAACGAACAAACGCCCAUUCGCUCUAGUGGAGGGACAGACGUGGAAGCAGAGAAAUCACAGGAGAAUCUGUUGUUUGCUGCAACUCGGACUGACUCAGAGCCCCAAGCCUGCCAGGCUGGCAGCGGGUCCCCCUCUCCCAGACAUGUGUUCAGAAGGCAGCACUACCAAGUAAUGCGUGUGAUGGGAUUAUUUUUUUUUUUAAUUUUUUUUCAACGUUUAUUUAUUUUUGGGACAGAGAGAGACAGAGGAUGAACGGGGGAGGGGCAGAGAGAGAGCGAGACACAGAAUCGGAAGCAGGCUCCAGUCUCUGAGCCAUCCGCCCAGAGCCCGACGCGGGGCUCGAACUCGCGGACCGCGAGAUCGUGACCUGAGCCGAAGUCGGACGCUCAACCGACUGCGCCACCCAGGCGCCCCAAGGGAUUAUUUUUAAUGCCAGUGGCAAAUUCUGCUCCUUGGCUUAUUCACUGACCCCGCAAUGUGACAAUGAAUCUAUUGUAAACUCACUUGGGUUCUGAAGAAAUUAAUAAUUAAUAUCUUGAGAGAUCCAAUACGACGUGAUGGCAGAAGGUAACCCAUUCUUCUACCUUGCUUUUCUCCCCUCCCCCCCGCUUCCUGUACC